rnacentral:rRNA from 1 species
UACGAAGGGGGCUAGCGUUGCUCGGAAUGACUGGGCGUAAAGGGCGCGUAGGCGGUUUCCGCAGUCAGAUGUGAAAUUCCUGGGCUUAACCUGGGGGCUGCAUUUGAGACGCGGAGGCUUGAGUGGGGAAGAGGGUCGUGGAAUUCCCAGUGUAGAGGUGAAAUUCGUAGAUAUUGGGAAGAACACCGGUGGCGAAGGCGGCGACCUGGUCCUUUACUGACGCUGAGGCGCGAAAGCGUGGGGAGCAAACAGG